rnacentral:rRNA from 1 species
AUUGAACGCUGGCGGCAUGCCUUACACAUGCAAGUCGAACGGCAGCACGGGGGCAACCCUGGUGGCGAGUGGCGAACGGGUGAGUAACAUAUCGGAACAUACCCUAGAGUGGGGGAUAACGUAGCGAAAGUUACGCUAAUACCGCAUACGCACUAAGGUGGAAAGUGGGGGAUCUUCGGACCUCAUGCUCAUGGAGUGGCCGAUAUCUGAUUAGCUAGUUGGUGAGGUAAAGGCUCACCAAGGCGACGAUCAGUAGCUGGUUUGAGAGAACGACCAGCCACACUGGAACUGAGACACGGUCCAGACUCCUACGGGAGGCAGCAGUGGGGAAUUUUGGACAAUGGGGGCAACCCUGAUCCAGCAAUGCCGCGUGAGUGAAGAAGGCCUUCGGGUUGUAAAGAC